rnacentral:rRNA from 1 species
UACGAAGGGGGCUAGCGUUGCUCGGAAUCACUGGGCGUAAAGGGUGCGUAGGCGGGUCUUUAAGUCAGGGGUGAAAUCCCAGAGCUCAACUCUGGAACUGCCUUUGAUACUGUCGAUCUGGAGUAUGGAAGAGGUGAGUGGAAUUCCGAGUGUAGAGGUGAAAUUCGUAGAUAUUCGGAGGAACACCAGUGGCGAAGGCGGCUCCACUGGUCCAUUACUGACGCUGAGGUGACGAAGGCGUGGGGAGCAAACAGG